AACGUGCUCGGCGCGCAGCUGGCCGGCCGGCCAGCCCAACGCCGCCAGAGCGCUCGCCGCGGGCGGACCCCGGAGCUGCUCCGCUUUGUUCCCGGCUCGCCUCCACUUCCCCGCCGGCGCCGGCCGGCUCCCGAGCGACCCUCACCUGCGAUCACGCCGACUGCCACUUGUCCACCUUCUCCACUACAAAGGCAACGAGGGGAGACCCCGUCCUCCCAGGGGACCGCCUCUCUCCGGCCCCGCCGCGCCCCUGGCUGCCGCUUCUCCCGCUGCCACUGCCCGACUCCGCGCGGGGAAUUGCGUCCCACCGCCACUUCCCCGCCUCUCGGAGCUCCUGGGAAGUUUCUGAUCUACUUUCGGCUCUGAAGGAGGAAGAGCUGUUGGGAGGAGCUUUUCACUCCUCGCUUCUACCUUUUUAUUGGCUACUCGAUGACUUUUACAGCCUGUCACUGAUACAGGAAGAGACAGCGGAGAGCCUGGGAGAACUACAUUAUUAAUUAAUGGAGCAACCCCUCGUGAAGAUUCAGAAGCAUCCUCCAUGUUUGAGAUUAUCAGCCAAAAGAUCUAGGGAAAGCGCUGGGGGUUCAUAAACACAUGGCUAACAAAGUAAAGCCUUCAAGUCUGGCACAGACUCUUGACUACACGAUGGGAAAAGGGAUUCCAAUUACGAUUUAACUUGUAUUUUAAAGAUGAGAAAAGAAAUGAAUAAGAAAAUUUGUUGCUAUUUUUCUUCUUCCAAAUUAGAAUCUAUAUCUCUAAAAAUACUUUGCAUGUUUAGUAAACAUCCAUCUUGAACAGAAGAUACCUUGACAUCAGUUCUAUUUAAUACUUAUGGCAAUUAAGAGAUUUAGAAAGCAGAGGAAAAGACCAAAAAAAAAGUAUGUGUUACAAAGUGUCAUCAUGCUUGUAGGACCCCAGCAUUCUUGAAACUAACGCACCUUUAAAAAGUAAUAUUUACACUGCUGUAAAUAUUUGCAAAGUAUCAAUGUUUAAUUCACUUAGAAUUUUAAGGAUUAUGGAUUUACUAGCGAAAAUUCCCCUAAAGCAACUUUCCCAUAUCAGUAACUUUUAUUUAGGGAAACAAGUUUAAUGUACAUAAUACAUGUGACCUUGGAAUUCAAUAGAAUUUUCGAAACUAGAAGUAACUCAGAACGUUCACUAGAUGUGUUUUAAAGUCUUUUUUGAUACUGUCCUUAACAUUUGCUUAUUUGCAAAUUAAUAUGUAAGAAUGAGUCUAAAAGUAAGUUUUAGGAAUGGUUAUUCGACAAAGAUGUUAUUCCUAUUACCAAUACUGCGAAAUGAUAAUUACAGAAACAAUGUGGGAUCCGUUUUAUAACUUCAAAUUUAAGUUCCUUUGUACUUUGGAGCAGAAAAUGUAAGAAAUCGAAAUCAAGAGUUAGUAUUUUUUAUCUUUCAGGCUGGCUUUAACUGUUCAUACACCUAGCAAAAUAAACAUUUGUGAAAGGCGUUAUUCUUUGGGUGUUUUAAAUUUCAUUAAUACUAUGAAUGCACCUUACUGUACAGAAGUCACAGAAGUUUGGAAAUGCUCCUGUAAGUAGUAAGUAUAUACUUUAGUAUCGGUUAACUCUUCAAAUAAGAGUUUACAGAUUUAAUUUUUUUUUUUUUUUUGAGACAGAGUCUCACUCUGUCCCCCAGGCUGGAGUGCGGUGGCACGAUCUCGGCUCACUGCAACCUCUACCUCCUGAGUUCAAGCGAUUCUCCUGCCUCAGCCUCCCAAGUAGCUGGGAUUACAGGCGCACACCACCACGUCCAGCUAAUUUUUGUAUUUUCAGUAGAGACGGGGUUUCACCAUGUUGGCCAGGGUGGUCUCAAACUCCCGAUCUCAGGUGAUCCGCCAGCCUUGGCCUCCCAAAGUGCUGGGAUUACAGGCGUGAGCUACCGCGCCCGGCCAAGAUUUGGUGUUUUAAACCUGUCUCCAACUAGUAUACUGAGUGACAAGUUAGAAUUCCCUGCCUAGAAAGUAUUUAUUGGGCCGGGCGCGGUGGCUCAUGCCUGUAAUCCCAACACUUUGGGAGGCCAAGGCGGCCGGAUCAUGAGGUUAGGAGGUUGAG
rnacentral:lncRNA from 10 species